AAAAAUCGACUAAUCGAAUAAAAUAGUAUCGGAAAUUCAACCAUUAAUUAAAUCUGAAAGGUAAACAUUUAAAGAUACAAACAACUAAAUAUUGAUUAAAUUAUAUUGAUAAAAUUUAAAAUAAAAUAAAUAGUAGAAGUUAUAUACAAAAUUAAACAAAAAUGGUAAGCAUAACAAAUAGAAACAUAAAGAUUUGCUAUCCACA
rnacentral:lncRNA from 1 species